rnacentral:lncRNA from 1 species
CUUUCAGCUCCCACCCAGGUGGCCUGUCCUCACGGGCCUUGGAGUGGAGACUUGAGCCACCAACUGUCAGAGGUGGAGACUUCACAGGCACAGCUGGAGCCAAGAACCCUGGUGCCCAAUUGUCUGUGACUGCAACUGGAUCAAGGGUUUGACUGUGGCUAUGGCUUAGCCAGGCAGGAUGUUUCCUCCACCACCUGCAGCUUCACAACCAACGGUGAUCCUGGGAACCAAUGGCCCAAUGAAGAACCCUCCCCAGCUGGAAGG